CCCAGCCGCCGCCACCGCCGCCACCAGGGCGGGACUAUGAGGAUGGCUUGGAGCGCCCCGACUACGAUGACCUGGACUAUGGGUUGCCACCGCUGCCACCGCCACCACCAGCGAAGCCCGAGAAAUACCCGGAUAAAGAGGAUGAGAUGGAGACGGACGAGGAGAAACUCAAGCCGGGGACGCACAAGAAGGGUGGCAGCAGCAAGGAGGAAGAAGAG